UACGGAGGAUCCGAGCGUUAUCCGGAUUCAUUGGGUUUAAAGGGUGCGUAGGUUGUUUUAUAAGUUAGCGGUGAAAUACCGAUGCUCAACAUCGGGGCUGCCGCUGAUACUGUAGGACUAGAGAUCGGAUGCAGCAGGCGGAAUGUGUAGUGUAGCGGUGAAAUGCAUAGAUAUUACACAGAACACCGAUUGCGAAGGCAUCUCACGAAUCCGCGAUUGACGCUGAUGCACGAAAGCGUGGGUAUCAAACAGG
rnacentral:rRNA from 1 species